rnacentral:tRNA from 1 species
GAGGGUAUAGCUCAGUGGUAGAGUGUGUGCUUAGCAUGCACAAGGUCCUGGGUUUGAUCACCAGUUCCUGCC